AACGUCAAACAACAGAGUUCAGACCUCUUAUUGAUUUAUUUUCAUUCUGCGCAAAUAAUAACAGAGUGGAAUUAAUAAAUAUUAUUAAUUGUCAUUUAAAACAAAUUGAACUAUUUAUACUGCAGUAAAUAUGGAAUAAUAGUGCCGUGGGGUAAAUAGAAGUGAGUGAAUAUCAUUUAUUUUAAAUGUUAAUAUUGGGAACACCUAUUGUUCCAGUGUGAGACAAGAUGUUUCUAAAUUUUUUUGUUAUCUUACAAAAGCGAUGGCAAUGAAUCUUCAUGGUUUAAACUGAACUAAAUAUAUAAAGCUUCUUAGGAAAAAAUGGGUGGACAAGUGAGUCAGGUGUUCCAAUCUGGUAGUGCUUUACUGACAAAUGGACAUGGUCACAAAGUUUCUGAUUCCACUAGACAAAAGGUGCAGACGAUAUUUGAUGCCCUCAGAGCUAAUCCCAAGAUUGGAGUGCAGAGGCUAGAGGGAUUGUUACAGCAAUUACCAAGGAAUGAAAAUAUAUUAGCAAUUCACGAUGAGACUGGUUACAACUUGCUUCAAAAAUGUGUAGGAGCAAAUAAUGUUGAGUUAGUUCGCUGGCUCUUAGCCAGACACAGUGCUGCUGAUGUCAAUAGGUUUCCUUGCAGCUUGCCUCUUCAUAUAGCCUGCUUAAAGGGACAUGAUGAAUGUGUAGAACUAUUGUUAAAGCAUGGUGCCAAAUCAGAUGUGGAGGUUAGAAUGUGUUGGCCAGGUCCUCACAGCAGUAAUUGUGAAGAACGGGGAAAAUAUUCAACUGCAGUCCAACAUGAAGAGACCUGCAUAGAAAGAGAUACUCGAGAGCGGGCGCCCAAUAAUAAACUACAGUCAGCUUUAUAUUAUGCAUUGGAUGGCGAUCAAGUUAACAUAUUGACGAUGUUGUCGCAGAGAGGAGAGGACCCAUGGAAUGGUAUAUUCCGUGCAAGAAAACCCUUACUACAUUCUGCCUGCGAGAGAGGCGCAUGGAAAUGUACAGAGUACUUGAUACGAGAACGUUCAGAUGAGAUACACCUCCUUAAAGAUGAAUAUUACCCCAUCCACUACGCGGUUUUGCAUGACAGCAAAUUUCUGGAACUCUUAAUAGAUCACGGAGCAGACACCACUGUUCGUACUUGCACUCAGCAGAUGACGUUAUUGCAUGUAGUACUGCUCGUGGCGCAUAAGUCAGCUGAAGAUACUAUAGCAACAAUUAGGUUACUACUAGAUCAUGGCUGCAAAGAAUUAAUUAACACACCAGAUAGUCUGGGAAAUACUCCACUACAUGCUCUUAUUGUAAGAUACGCUCUAGAAGAAGCCCAAUAUGGUUAUGACAAAUGGAACAAAUGGAAUAAAUGGGAUAUCCUUCACCUGGUCAGAUACUUAAUACAAAACGGCGCUAGACAAUCGAUAAACCACGCCGGAAAUUCUGCAGUGGCUUGCGUGUUAAGACAUGUUCGCGAUUGGGAUGUUUGUUAUGAAUUGCUCAAUAUGUUACUCAAUGAAGAUGGUGAUCCCAAUAUGGUUGGCCGAGAUGGAUCGGUACCUCUGAUGGUCUGUUUGGUACCUCUUAUAAAUAAAGAUCCUCUACACCAUUUUACCCAUAGUAUGAAGGUUUGUUAUUUAAAUUGCAUUAAAAUUCUUCUAAAACACGGGGCCAAUUCCAAUUGUAGCUACAGGGCUAAUCUGACUCCCCUACAUGUAUUAGUAUUUACUGUGUCAGAAAAUAUAACAUUAAAUUGUAACGUCCAGAAAAGAUUAAACUUUGAAUUCAUUAAAAAUUUGUUGAUACUAUUGUUAAACCACGAUCUAAAUCCCAAUGCGAGAGUUACUAGAAAAACAGAACACAUUUUCCAGAAAUGUAUGGACAUGGUACUGAAUGUUCGAGACUGUAUGGAUCUUCACUACGUGUAUGAUCUUACACUUACUCUCAUUCAAUUUGGAGCCAAUCCUGAUUUGAGCCUCAAUAUGUCGGAAGCUAUCAGGAGGCAUCCCUUACAUUCGCAGAGUAUAUGGAAUACGAAAAACUAUAUUUUGUAUUAUUACAUAACGUUAAUAUCUAGAAAAGAGAAUCUCAUCACUGAUCCCCAUCUUAGUUUUGCUAAAAUUAUUUUGUUGUUUUACUGCGUUAUGCAACACAAGCCUCUGUUUGAGUGCCUAAAGAUCUUAUACACUCAGCAAUUGAGUUUAGUUCCCGGAAAAACAACUGAACCGCUAACUGCCAUCAUCAGAGACCUUUACAAACGACCACGAACUCUCAAACAGAUUUGUCGAGUCAAAAUCCAUAAUUGCUUAGGACGCCGGCCAGGACUUUUCAUCAACAAACUAGAUUUGCCCAAUCAGCUGAAAGAUUAUUUGUUGAAUUUUCAAAUGUAACUGUUAAGAAGGUAGAGAGACGGAGAGAGAAUGAGGACGUAAGAAAUAUAUCUUAUAAUUCUAUCACAAUCUUGUAUAUAGAAGCGUAUAACUUAAAAAUCGCGUUGAGUAUAUAGAGAUUUUGACAGAUACCUGUUGAUAUUUGGCAAUAUUUUAUUCUUUAAGAAAGUUGUUUACUUAGUUAUAACAUUAAUACCCAGAUAUUUUACACGCCAAUGAAGCAAAAGGAACUAAGAAAAGCAUAAGUUAUUAUUUCUUUUUAAUUUAAUCGUUUUUCUUUGCUUAUUUUAGUUCCUACUAAACCAUAAUAUGAAUGUAUUAGUGGUGCCUGGUCAUUUCACAUACUACUACUUUGUCAUUAAAUUUUCACUAAUCCAAUUUAAGAGUGAUACUCUACACGGUAUUACAGGACGUUUAGACGGUUUCACCCCUAUUCAGCGGUCCCCAUAAUCGCGUUCCCCGAUUGAGCGGUCUCAAUACAGCGGUCCCCGUUUCAGCGGUACCCCGAUUCAGCGGUGCCCGAUUCAGCGGUCCCCAUAAAAGCGGUCCCCAAUAGAGCGGUCUCAAUAAGAAAAUAAUAAUAUGAUAAUGAUAAGUAAUUAGUUUUAUUGUAGGAUAUUAUUUUAACCUAUUCUUGUUUGAAAAUAUACAGGUAAUAUCUAAGUAUCUGGUAUAUACCCCAGUUAAUAGGGAAAAAAAUCAUCGAUUUCACGUAAAAAUGUUCUACAGGGUUUUCAAAGUUUUAAACGGUAGAUGAGGGAUAACUGAUGAUAAUUCCAUGAAGACGUACAGCUGAUUUUGCUUUUUUUUUAACAAUUGUAAAGAAUGAAAAAAGCAGUUUUUUGACUAUAAAACGUUUCUUGUACAUUUUAGAGAAAAAUUUUUCAAAUAAAUGUAGAUCUUAAAAAGUUCUUUAAUUUGGUAGUAAGCAUAUUGUAAUAUAUAAACAAUUGAUCGAGAUAAUUGCAAAAAACCCUCAUUUUUCCAGUAAAUUAUAAAUAUUAAUAACUUUACUUUUUUGCGCAAUGACGUAAAAUUUAAUGACUUUAAAUUAUGUCAAUUAAUGAGUUAUUUAAGUGUGCUAAAUUUCAACCAGAUAGACCAAAUAGUUUAUAAGUUAUUCAAUUUGUUUAGCCCAGAGAGCAAUUGUUUAUACAACUGUUCUUGCCCUACAGUGACUCUGUGAGAUAUUUAGCAGAUCGCAGUCGAUUAUUUGAGACUUUAAUUUGAAGACGUAUUAAAAAAUUUUUAACAUUUUAUUGAAAUUGUUAUUAAAAAAACUGUUUGAAAAAGGCCUGACUUUUUAGCUUAUAAACAAUUAGAAUAACUUAGAUAUUUUUUGUGUUCCGUGCUUGCAUGUAGGCUCAGUGAAAAGCUGAUGAAAAAAUGCAUAUAAAAAAAGAAAAAAUAAUUUUAUAUGACAAACAGAAAUGAAGUUAGCAUUUAUUUUUUAAUAAAUCAUAUUUCCGUUGUUCAUACAAACUAAGAGCUGAAAAUUGAACAGAUUGUAUAUGAGAAUCUACAUUUUAUGAUCCAGUUUAUGAACUGCCUAUGCAGUGAAAUAAUAAAAAGUUGUGACCCUUUAAAAUGAUGGAAAAUCAUGGAAAAAUCAAUUGAUUACAUUUUUUUUAAUGAUUGAAUUUUACAAUUAUUUCGUAAGAAUUCUGUAAAUUUUAUUAAAUAAAGUAUAUUAUUAAGAUAAAUAUAUAAUAAAAAAUACACAUUAAAAAAGAAAAAAAUAGUUUUACAUGACCAGUAGAAAUCAAGUUAACAUUUGUUUUUUAAUAAAUCAUAUUUCAAUUGUUUACAAAUAUUAAUAGGUGAAAAUUGAACAGAUUUUAUAUAAGAAUCUACAUUUUAUAAUCUAAUUUAUGGAUUGUAUAUGCAGUGAAAUAAUAAAAAGUAAGGACCCUUUAAAAUAAUGGAAAAUCCCUGAAAAGUAAAUUGAUUACAUUUAUUAUAAAAGUUAUUGAAUUUUACAAUUAUUAUUAUUUUGUAAGUCACUUACACACGUAAAAACAUGUGUAGUUCAUAUGCUGUCAAAGUCAAAGGUGACUUGACAAUUUAUUUUCGGUAUGGUGUGGACUAACUGGAUUAAUCAAUAAUUGUGUUCACAUAUGGAAACCGUGAAAUAAAGUUAACGCUGUGGCAUUUUUUUUAAUGCCUUUUUGCAUUUUGUCAAACAGCCGUUUUAAGUGCAACAAACCGGUGUAAUAUUAGGAACUUUAAAAAUGGGGCGUAGAAAAAGCUCUUUUUGAGUAGUGGUUGUAAAAAAAAUGGAUUUUACUCACUGUUUUUUUGGUGCGGAAAAUGUGAUUUUCCGCAUGCUAGUAGAAAAAAUAUUUUUUUACUUCUAACAAAUUGAUUUGAUAAACCCGCUCUCCCUCUUUUGAUAGGUACCCGCAGAAUCAUCCUAAGUAAAUUGGUUUAUGUAGAAUAAUGUUAUAAAUAUUUAGCCUCUAGGAUAAACCUUUACAAUUUUACAAAAACUAUUGCAUGAAUUAAUUUAAAAAAUAUUUUGAAAAUUAUUUACUAUAUUACCCUACUUUUUAUGCAAUUGCAAAGCAAUAGGGUGAUUUUGUGACAAUUUAUUGUUUAUUUUAUAAAAUUCAUUUUUUAUUGUUAAAACUACUGUCCCCACGAGGGUCCUGUUUUUACUCAUUUUCCUGAACGAUGCCUUUCAAACGGCAUGCUGCAGAACCAAACGCCGGCGCUGCUGAAACGGGUCGGUGGAAUCGAGAACCGCCGAAACGGGGACUGCUGAAAUGGGUACCGCUGAACCGGGGACUGCUGAAAAGGGUCGGUGCAAUCGAGAACCGCUGAAACGGGGACUGUUAAAAUGGGGUCUUACCGUUUAGACAUACAGAGGUAGAACAGUAAUGGUAUGGAGUGGAAUAAUAAUCGGUGGAAGAACGUACCUCGUUUUUCCAGACCGCAUCCUCACAGCUCAGUAGUACCUCGACAUCAUUCUAUAACCUAUCGCUCGUCCGUUUGCUACUGCGGUUGGUCAAAACAAAGAAUACCCCAACCAACCUGUGUUGGGUGUGUAUUCUUUGGUCAAAACUUCCACCUUAUGCAUGAUAAUGCUCGUCCACAUGUCGCACGCGCAGUGACAGACUGGCUUACAAACGACGGACGGUAUCGAUGUGUUGCGUUGGCCAGCACAAUCCCCCGACCUGAAUCCCACCAACCAUGUAUAGGACAUGCUUCAGCGAAAAAUUACUUUACAUAUGGGUAACAUAUACACGCCGUUUCGUUUCCGAGAGCGUCUGAUAGAAGAAUUGGUAAACGUACGUCAACGGGAUAUCGACAAUCGCAUUUUGUCUAUGAACGACAGAUGUAGAGUCGUAAUAAAUCAGGGUGGAUGCCAUACUUUGUAUUAAUUUUGUUUUUGUUUUUAUUUCAAGCAUAUUUUGUGAUGACCAAUUUUUUUUAUUUGUACUUUUCGUUAUUUUUGACAUUUCAACAAUUUUUGUUGUUUAUUAAAUACUAUUAAUCCCUACAAAUCGAUUACUCUUUAUCCAAAAUAAUUAAAGAUAAAUUACAUCUCUUUUUAAAAAUAUACCUAGACUUUUCCGAUGUCUUUAUUUGAAUCUUGUUGCUCAGUUUCGUUUCAUUUUUGACACAAUACAUAUUCAAAAACUUUUCUGUAAUCAAUAAAUACAUUCAUCUCCCCACAUUGUCUCUGAAUCAGUACAUUUAGCUAAAAGCGUUCUUCUGUUCGUGAAACCAAACAGUGCCGAAUCCAUUAGUUGCUUUUUUGUAUAUUCGAGUGUGUCUUAUGUACAGUAACACCUUAAAAACAUCAUAUCGGCCUAACCAUCUCCGUCUGAUAGACAUGACACAAAUUCCUUAAUAACUCAAAAAAUUUUCUAUUUUAUGUUAGAAUUUUCAUAACCGAGUGACCCAUAUGUAAGUGUCUAAAUGUUUGUUUCUAAAGAAAUUAUUGUUAAAUAUUAAAGUAUCAAAAUAAAUAUAAUCGAAUAAAAAAUAUUGAUAUUAGUACGUUACCGUACAAACAUGGACUGUUUUAUAAACAACUUUUUUAGGGAAUACGAAAUUGAAAAAUAUUCUAAGCAGAAAAGUUUGCACUAUAAGUUUUUAGACGAUUAAAAAUUAUUGUUCCUUCUAAUCAUUCAAUAUGUAUUUAUAUUCAUUAGCUAUUAAGAGAAAAUCAGCGUCUAUACCUCGUUUUUAAACUAGGAGGAGUAAUUCAAAUUUACUGCGCCGUCAAAUUGUAAUUGGUCCAACCGCAGGCAAGUUUACACCAUCAACUUUUGACACUAUUGACAUUUAUCAAAUUUUGACACUAAUAGCAUUUGAAAUUGAUAGGUUAAUUGCAUAAAUUAUAUCUGCGGUUUUUUGUGUUUUUUGCGUUAUUCCCUUAAUUUUUAGAUUUUUAGUCUACAUUUAUACAGGGUGUCCCCGAAAAUAGUGCGUUCCUUUAAGGUAUGGAUAUAAUACACAAUGUAGAACAAAAAAGUCCUUUAACAUUUUCUUCUAAAGUUAACCGUUUCCAAAAAAAAUUACAUUGUUCGCCAUAUAAGCAAACUUUUAUUUUCAUAAAAUUAACUAAUUUGGCAUCACUGUACAAGAACUGUUUGUGAUUUAGUUUAUUGACACCACAAAUAUGUAGGUUAGACAGGUACACCUACAAAAUAAUUGUACCACCCCAUGUUUGAAAAUCCAAUAAAACAAGAAUUUGUUUGUUUAGGAUGAAGACAGGGUUUAAUGUAAAUACUUAUGGCUAAAAUUCUGCAACUAUUUUUGAAUUGUGAUUGUCUAUGUUUAGAUUUUUGUAUACAUAGUUGUCAGAUUUCAAUUUGCAUACCAAAAUGUAUUUUGGUUUUUUAGCCAAACAGUUGCAUUUAGAAAAAAAUGUUAUAAGACUUUUUUGCUCUACGUGGUGCCUUCUACCUAUACCUUUAAGGAACUCACUAUUUUCGGGGACACCCUGUAUAAAAAGCGGUUGUUUUUACAAAUUUUUAGCAACAUGUUAGUAUAAUAUAAUAUUUAUGGAUUACCGUCAAGACCGACAUGAUCAACCAAACAUUACUGUGUGUGAUGCUGUCUUGUGAGUUUACUCCUCCUGGUUUAAAAACAGGGUAUAGAGUCAUACUAAUAUUUAAUAAGUUGACAUAAGGGCUUGAUUCCUGCCAAUUUAGAAUGAUUCAUUACAGCGUAAUUGCUAAUGCUUCGCCAUCUCUGGAAAUAAUUCUUGCCAUCUCUUCUUCAAAAGCGUAAAGGAAAGGGUAGACUGUUGAUCAUUGCAGUAAAACAGAUAUGGAAAGAAAACUACUACACAUUGCCUGAAUUAAUGUUUUCAGUUGAUCUACAUCAGUCUAGCUAGACAAAUAAACAAGACCUUGCAUUUUAGAGAGGAAUGGGGAAUAAAAACAAGCAAACCAAGAAUAACCGAUGAGAUGUGUUUGCUCGAGAGAAAAUUUUAAAGAUCCAGAACCUUUCUGUGGUAUCACUGCUGAAGAUUCUACGAAAAGCGAGGUUCAGAAAUGGCUGAUAAGGAAUCAUCAAAAGAAAUGGGGAGCCACUCAAGGGCAAAUCCAGACUAAAAAAAAAUCUCAAGAAUAUUGAUAAAAAAAUUCUCGAACACUGAUGAACCUUAAUAAACGACACAUCAAAACGGUCACUGAAAUGGUGAUUGGACAUUGCCGUUUAAGAAACCACCUAUUCAAUCUAGGUAGGGUGAAUGAACCAUGGUGCAGAAAGUACGAAAUGGGAGAAGAGGCUGCCAUACAUAUGCCAUUGUAGUGUGCUAAGUGAUGUAAGGCAAGAAUUCACUGGUCAACUGAGGUUUGAGACCAGAAGAGAUCCUAAAACUACCAAUAUGAAAACUGUUGGCCUUUGUUGAGGCUACAGAACUUAUUAGAGUUUGAGGAAAAUUGAGGUAUCUUACGACCAAGUUACAGAGACUAAUAAGUCUCACCUGAUUUAAGAAGAAAAAGAAGAGAUGUGUUUGUGGACUGGAAUGCACAGUUGUUAUAGAUUGGUUACUUUAUGUUUAACAAUAAUUUAAUUUAUAAAUCUUAAAUUUCUAAUGGCAAUGGAGAAUAUUUCGAAUGGAAUCGAGAGAGCAGAGGAUUCUAGAACAGGAAAUAUUUACAGACCCCAGGUUGACUCAGCCUGAAUAAAAGUAGUAUAGUUGCCAACAAAUUAUUGCAGCAAAAUCUUAUGUUAAUCUUAUUACAAAUCCAGUUGUAUUUUAGUGGUGUCGUUAAGUUUCGAGAGGUAAACAUACUGAAUAGCACACAUUCAGAUAACGAGGAACUUUGUGAAUGUGGAGAAAUAUAGAAUGUGGAGCACCUGAGAGUAUGCAGACUUUACCCAUCACAGUGCACCCUCGAUGAUUUAUGGCUCGCAAAUAUAAUGGGUGUAGAUGUAGCCCGAUACUGGACAGAAAAACUAUAGUCGGAUCCAGACUCAAAAAAGUAAAGUGAGUACUGAACAGCAGGUAUAAUAAUUAAACGUACAAUAAAUUAACAUUUAUUACUUUCUAGCUGUUCUGGAGACUUAAAGACACCACUCAAAGACAAAUGACUUUGUAAUAAGCUUAAGCUAAGCUUCUGCAGUAACUUGUAGGCAACUAUACCUUGGGGUGUAUAAUCAGGGGUAAUAAUAGGCGGUUAAAGCGUAGCACUGACACUGUUAUCUUUCUUGGAUACCGUAGGCUCUCGAAAUAGCAGACUACCCUGCUAUAAUCGCAAAGCCGCGUUAUCGGUAUAAAAGGGAGACUAUUAUUAUUAUUCUUUAAUAAAAAAUAGAUUUAGAGUGAAAUACGAAGUUGGGAUUUGAGUUUAUGAUCCGUGUUAGAUAGAUACUACUUUCCCCUAAAUAAUGACCAUUCAUCGCUUCUUGACAUUUAUUAUCUUGGCAUAUUAUACUAUGACCUAUUUUAAAUUAAAUUAUAUUUACCUUUAUAAAAAAACUAUUUUGGAAAACUGCAAUCAAAUUAACAACUAAAUGCAAACUUUAAGCUUAGGAUUAUCGUCAUAGUUAUGGCGUUUAUUUAAAUUGUUUUCGAAUCUGGUGUUUCCUGAGAUCAGUUUUAAAUUAAUUAGACAAUCGUUUAAAUACAGGUUAUUAUAGAUUUUACAAAAAUCCAGCCAUGUCGAUGACUAAAUUGCAAUAUUAAAUUUCAGGUGAACUCCAUAGCAGAUAACUCAAAAGGAGAUGCGAGGUUGCCACCACCUUCUGACCGCGUCAAAUAGAAUUUGGCGUUUUCGAUGUACACUGAUUACGAUGUGAGUUACAGGAUGCUAAUGAAAACACGAAAAUGACGCGAAAUAUCAAACAUUCCAAUUUCGGGUAAUUACGAUUCGACAUGGUCAUUUCUAUUCGAUUUGUUAAAAGUUACAGAAUAGGGCUAAAUACAACUGUGGAGAAAUAUUAUUAAAUACAGUAGUGUUAUGGAUUAGAAUCUUACAUUUAAGUAAACAACCGAGGCAAGUUGUAUUGCAUUUAGUUUGUCGAUAUUCAGUUUAAGCAAGGCCGCUUUUAAUGUAUUUAAAUAAUUAAUUAAUCUCGAAAUGAAUCUCAAAUGUUUUAAAAUCUUUUUACUUGAUCUGAGGAAUACCUUACCAGUGAAUGUAGAUAGGUACCUUCUUGUGUUUUUCUAGAGAUAUUAAUAAUUUAGAAAAUAAAUAAAUAUACAUAAAUAUCUUUUGCAUGUUGUGGUGGCAGAUUUGCAGAAUAUAAGUCCUUGCUUGCUUGUUUAUAAGUUGGGCUAACUGGGGCGAUAGUGAAGGUACGAAUUAGUAUUUCAAUAAUGUUAGCAUUACGAUGGUGUAAGUACCACAAGUCGUAGCCACGAAAGAUAGAAUUUUAUAGAAAAAAUAAAAACAUUGUAAUAGAGUAAAUAAUUUUUGUUGAUGAUUUUGAUGAAAUCCUUUCCUUCGAAACCCUUGGUAUACUACAACUCUCAGAUAAUCCAUUGUACACUAUGCGUCAGAGAAAACGGGCACCCCACAAAAUGGGUCAUUUUUGAUGUCUCGAAUUUCCUAAACCUGUUGUCCGAUUUAAGUGACUUUUAUAAUAUGUUAUAGCCUUAUUCUUUAACAAUAUCGCUGUAAUAAUAUUGUUGCUAGACAGGUAAAUUGCCAUUGUAUACCGGGUGUACCAAUUAAUCUGUGUUUUUUCUUAAAGUUCACCACACCCUGUGGAAUAUUCUAGCAUUUAUAAAAUACUGAAAUGAAAACCCAACUAUAGCCUUAGGUUUUCUUAACAUUCUGUUUUUUGAUUCAUUUGCUUAUGUUGGAUAAUAAAAAAGUUACAUACUUUAACAACUAGCCAUGUUCUUCAUCAAUACAGGGAGUUUCUAACUCAGUGCGAAAAACUUGAAGGUGUAAUUCUGCAUGAAAAAAUAAUGACCGUUUGCUUUAUAAACAUGUCCGCAAGUGCUUCUUUUCUGAGAUACGAGAUGUUGAUUUUUUUCUUACAAACUGACGAUUUAUUUAUUGCUCUAAAACCGGUUGAGAUAUGCAAAUGAAAUUUGGUAGGUUUUAAGAGAUAGUUAUUGCACAUUUUUUGGCAUGCAAUAAAGAAUUUUAUAUUCUCCAUUGGCGCGCAUACGGGUCAUAUUACCGGCAGCUCUAGAAUCAAUAUUUAAGAACACAUGUUAUGGGCAUCAAUAUAGAUGAAACAAAUCUAAAUCAUCUGAGCUUUGCAGAUGACAGACAUUGUAUUAAUUGCAGGCAACUUACAAGACACCGUUUCUAUGAUACAUUCGCUUAAAACUCUGUCUGAAAGAGCAGGAUUAAAAAUAAACUUGUGAGAAAACUAAACUUAUGACAAAUCUCGUAAUGAGUGGAAAUAAAACUAGUAACAAUAAUUCCAUACCACAAAUAGACACAAAUAUCUGGGAUACGAGAUCAAAAUAAGCAGAAACAGUCAAACACAUGAAAUACAAAGGCGAAUAGGUCUGACAUGGGCAGAAUUUGACAUACUAAACCAUAUUCUAAAAAGUUCAAUUCCCAUGUGUCUAAAGCGAAAGUUCUAUAACCAGCGUGUCUUUCACGUACAAACAUAUUUAACAGACACUACAAAAAGACCGUUCAAGAGCAAAGCUCGUUCAAGACGUCAUCGAAACAAUCACGACGCUUAAGUGGAACUAGGCAGGGCAUUUAGCUAGAACACAAGACGGACGGUGGAUAAGACUAUUCAUGGAAUGGAGGCCCAGAAACUAUAAAAGAAGCCGAGGACGACUACCGACCAGUGGCGGAUCCGGGGGAGGGCGAUGGGGCGAUCGGCCCCCCCUCUCAAAAUGAUGCUGGAUCCGCCAGUGCUACCGACUAUACUAGAGUAGCGGGAAACUGGCUAUAAGCGGCCCAGUGUAGAACAGAAAGAACUGAGGGAGGUCUACGUCCAGCAGUGGACGCGAUUGGCUGAUUGAUGAUAAUGAUCAGCUCAUAACUUAGUAUAAGCUAAUUUCCUUUCCAGCUUUUUUAGCCUGUAACAAAUUUUUGUUUUAGAAAUAGAUGUAUAAGUUCCUCGAGAUUUCCUAGUCUCUAUAUGCUUUGUAAUGUGAUUUAAGAUGGAAUAGACUCGCUUAGUUCAGUAUGUAAUUUGGACGAUAUUUGUGUGAUUGAAAGAUAUUUUUUAAUGUUCUUCUUUCCAGAACUCAAUUGAUAAUGAUUAAGAGUCUCUCUGUAGUAUAUUUGAUCAUGAAACGUAAGAUAUCUUUCAUCAUUUGUAGUCAGUGAUAGUGUAACAGGUUAUUGGAUGUCGCCUAGGUAGUGUAGCAUAUAAUACUGUCAACAAAAAUUAUUACCUCGGUGUCAAAAUAUAUAUCAGAAAGUAUUUGCAUUUUAUAAAAGAAAAUUCAAACAAAUUAAACUUUAAUGAGUAAAAAGCUUUGUUGAAUAUUUCUCUAGAAAAAUACUGAAAAGUAUCAUUAUGUAAUUAUAAAAAUGUAUAGUUUAUAUUACGUUAUUAUAUUGUGAUUACUGUUAUGGCGAAUUGGUAACCAUAUUUAAAUAAAAAUAUUUAUUAAAAAGUUA
rnacentral:misc_RNA from 1 species